CCUACGGGAGGCUGCAGUGGGGAAUAUUGCACAAUGGGGGAAACCCUGAUGCAGCGACGCCGCGUGAGUGAAGACGUAAUUCGUUAUGUAAAGCUCUAUUAGCAGGGAAGAAAAUGACGGUACGUGAGUAAGAAGCCCCGGCUAACUACGUGCCAGCAGCCGCGGUAAUACGUAGGGGGCCAGCGUUAUCCGGAGUUACUGGGUGUAAAGGGAGCGUAGACGGCAGUGCAAGUCUGGAGUGAAAGGCGGGGGCUCAACCCUCGGACUGCUAUGGAAACUGUCAGGCUGGAGUGCAGUAGAGGUAAGUGGAAUUCCUAGUGUAGCGGUGAAAUGCGUAGAUAUUAGGAGGAACACCAGUGGCGAAGGCGGCUUACUGGACUGUCACGGACGUUGAGGCUCGAAAGCGUGGGGAGCAAACAGGAUUAGAUACCCCUGUAGUC
rnacentral:rRNA from 1 species